AUUGAACGCUGGCGGCAGGCCUAACACAUGCAAGUCGAGCGGAUGAAGGGAGCUUGCUCCUGGAUUCAGCGGCGGACGGGUGAGUAAUGCCUAGGAAUCUGCCUGUUAAUGGGGGAUAACGUCCGGAAACGGGCGCUAAUACCGCAUACGUGCUGAGGGAGAAAGGGGGAGAGCUUCGGACCUCACGCUAUCAGAUGAGCCUAGGUCGGAUUAGCUAGUUGGUGGGGUAAAGGCCUACCAAGGCGACGAUCCGUAACUGGUCUGAGAGGAUGAUCAGUCACACUGGAACUGAGACACGGUCCAGACUCCUACGGGAGGCAGCAGUGGGGAAUAUUGGACAAUGGGCGCAAGCCUGAUCCAGCCAUGCCGCGUGUGUGAAGAAGGUCUUCGGAUUGUAAAGCACUUUAAGUUGGGAGGAAGGGCAGUAAGUUAAUACCUUGCUGUUUUGACGUUACCAACAGAAUAAGCACCGGCUAACUUCGUG
rnacentral:rRNA from 1 species